AAACCUUUUCAGCUCUAAAAAGAUUAGUAAGCAUUGAAUGAUUUCAAACAAGAACAUUGUCUUCUAAAUUUACAUAAUUUAUUCUUUAUUCAGAUUGAAUUUCUGCAGUUUGUCAGAGAUCAGCUGUGAUGCUCUGGCCUCAGCUCUGAAGUCCAACCCCUCCCAUUUGAGAGAGCUGGACCUGGGCUACAACAACGAGCUGAAAGAUUCAGGAGUCAAGCUGCUGUGUGGUUUUCUGGAAAUACCAAACUAUAGACUGGAGAAUCUGGGAUUGAGGAGCCGCGGUUUGUCAGAGAUCAGCUGUUCUCCUCUGGUCUCAUCUCUGAAGUCCAACCCUCCCAUCUGAGAGAGAUGGACCUGAGCUUGAACAACCUGAAGGAGUCAGAUAUGAAGCAGCUUUGGUGAUCUGAAGGAGAGUCCAGACUGUAGACUGGAGACUCUGGAAAUGGGAGUGAUCUCUGUCAGAGUGAUCAGAAGGAGGAUGUGUUGGAGGAUCAGCUGAGUCCUGAUGAUCCCGAGCUUGAAGCAGCAGCAGCACCUCUAAAUGGGCCAUGUUACUGGGAGGUAGAGUGGAGAGACUGACUGAGGCUCUGCACGCUUUCACAUUAGCGAACGGCACGUGACCAUGAAAGAAGGAUGUCGGGCAAGUUGAUUGGCCGACAUUAGCCUCUCUGGGUCGGGGGCUCUGUCUACAUCAGAAUCAGUGGAAACAUCUUCUAUAUUAACAGUUGAAAUGUAAACUAACGUUAAAAGGUGAGGUGAUUGUCAUGCUGUCCACAGCAAUUGUCGAGAUUAGCUUCACACACUCACACAGAGACACACACACUCAAACACACACACACACUCACACACACACCACACACUCACACACAGACAUACAGACACACAGACACACACACUUUAACCCCAUGCUAAUAGGGAAGAGUUGGCUCAAGGAUGCCGACAGAAGAAGCUCUCAGUGAAUGAAAAAGAACUGAUAUGAAUGUAAUCAAAUUAAUAAAUCAGUUUGUUGUUUGGACAAA